UAGGGAAUCUUCGGCAAUGGACAAAAGUCUGACCGAGCAACGCCGCGUGAGUGAAGAAGGUUUUCGGAUCGUAAAACUCUGUUGUUAGAGAAGAACAAGGACGUUAGUAACUGAACGUCCCCUGACGGUAUCUAACCAGAAAGCCACGGCUAACUACGUGCCAGCAGCCGCGGUAAUACGUAGGUGGCAAGCGUUGUCCGGAUUUAUUGGGCGUAAAGCGAGCGCAGGCGGUUUCUUAAGUCUGAUGUGAAAGCCCCCGGCUCAACCGGGGAGGGGCAUUGGAAACUGGGAGACUUGAGUGCAGAAGAGGAGAGUGGAAUUCCAUGUGUAGCGGUGAAAUGCGUAGAUAUAUGGAGGAACACCAGUGGCGAAGGCGGCUCUCUGGUCUGUAACUGACGCUGAGGCUCGAAAGCGUGGGGAGCAAACAGG
rnacentral:rRNA from 1 species